AGAAAACCAGGACUCGAACCUGUACUUAAUAACCCAAAAUCAUUUGUACUUCAUUGUACUAUUUUCUAG
rnacentral:tRNA from 1 species